UGGCUAUGUGGAUGGCCGUGCUGGGGGGAAGACCCAUCUCAACACCAGCUUACUCUGACUUCCUUAACUGCCUGUCCACAGUGGAUGAUAUGUCUCCAUCAGGUGCAUUAAAACAGGCUCGUGGUUCAUCCAAUCCGUCUGCAGACAGCUGAGAGAAAGUUGCUCAGAAAAUGUGGACAUUCUGACAAUCCUUACUCAAGUCAAUAUGGAGGACAGCCAGAAGGACUGCAUGCUCGGCAAGUUUCCUGUGAAGCAAACUCCAGAACAAAGACACACCCUGAGGAA